rnacentral:rRNA from 1 species
CCUACGGGCGGCAGCAGUAGGGAAUCUUCCACAAUGGACGAAAGUCUGAUGGAGCAACGCCGCGUGAGUGAAGCAGGGUUUCUGCUCGUAAAGCUCUGUUGGUAGAGAAGAAAGACAGAGGUAGUAACUGGCCCUUAUUUGACGGUACUUACUUAGAAAGUCACGGCUAACUACGUCCCAGCAGCCGCGGUAAUACGUAGGUGGCAAGUGUUGUCCGGAUUUAUUGGGCGUAAAGGGAGUGCAGGCGGUUCAAUAAGUCUGAUGUGAAAGCCUUCGGCUCAACCGGAGAAUUGCAUCAGAAACUGUUGAACUUGAGUGCAGAAGAGGAGAGUGGAACGCCAUGUGUAGCGGUGGAAUGCGUAGAUAUAUGGAAGAACACCAGUGGCGAAGGCGGCUCACUGGUCUGCAACUGACGCUGAGGCUCGAAAGCAUGGGUAGCGAACAGGAUUAGAUACCCCAGUAGUC